CCUACGGGAGGCUGCAGUGGGGAAUAUUGGACAAUGGGGGGAACCCUGAUCCAGCCAUGCCGCGUGUGUGAAGAAGGCCCUCGGGUUGUAAAGCACUUUCAGUGAGGAAGAACGCCUGGUGGUUAAUACCCAUCAGGAAAGACAUCACUCACAGAAGAAGCACCGGCUAACUCCGUGCCAGCAGCCGCGGUAAUACGGAGGGUGCGAGCGUUAAUCGGAAUUACUGGGCGUAAAGCGCGCAUAGGUGGCUUGAUAAGCCGGUUGUGAAAGCCCCGGGCUCAACCUGGGAACGGCAGCCGGAACUGUCAAGCUAGAGUGCAGGAGAGGAAGGUAGAAUUCCCGGUGUAGCGGUGAAAUGCGUAGAGAUCGGGAGGAAUACCAGUGGCGAAGGCGGCCUUCUGGACUGACACUGACUCUGAGGUGCGAAAGCGUGGGUAGCAAACAGGAUUAGAUACCCGAGUAGUC
rnacentral:rRNA from 1 species